CAUCAGUGUUAACAUAGAUCUCUAUGCCGAUGAGGAUUUGGGCAACACACCUAUGAACGAAGAAGUGAAGGAGGAGAUUGUAGUUUACCUAUUCCAGUGAAGGGCAAGAUAGAGACUUUAAAUCAAGCAUUAGAUAUCUUUGGGAUGAAUGUGAUUGUGGAAGCAAGUUUUUUGUUAUGACCAAGCAAAAAUAACAUCACAUAUCAAGGAUCGUGAUCUCCGAUCCAGAAAUUUUGCCAACCAGUUAGAAGCGGCUACCUUGGAACAAAUAGUUCUAAUUCCGUAUAAUACUGGGUAAAUAAAUAAGAUUAACACAUUAUUAUGUUUUUCAUUGAGGUUAAAUGUAUACUCACAUUGAAGAUGUUUAUUGUAGUUUUCAUUGGAUGUUGCAUGUCAUCGAUCUUCGAACAGUUUAUGUUUUGGACUCUCUUUGAAGUAAAGUUAACGAAGACAUCCAUGGAGUCAUAAAUGUGACUUAUGAUUUACUUCUUAUUUGACUUCAUUGUCUUCUAAUUCUAAUGUUUCCAAAUGUAUAGAGGAUUAAAAACAUGGCAAGCUAAGCAUGAUUUACAACAUUAUCGGUCAAAUCCGAAAUGGAAACCUAUAAAGGUAAUUUGCAUUGACACAUAAUUAUUUUCAAUGAAACAUAAGAAUAAUUUGUAUGUAAUUUAUAUACAUGCAGUGUCCUCGUCAAUUGGAUUCGGUUGGGUGUGGGUAUUAUGUCCAAAAGUAUAUACAUGAAAUCGUGCAUAUUUC